GACGAACGCUGGCGGCGUGCCUAAAACAUGCAAGUCGAACGGGGUCUUCGGACCCAGUGGCGAACGGCGGAGUAAUACAUAAGCAACGUGCCCUGAAGACUGGGAUAUACGAUGGAAACGUCGGGCAAUACCAGAUGUGGUUGGGAGGAGUCAUCUUCAUCCAAUUAAACGGAUUUAUUCGCUUCGGGAGCGGCUUGUGGCCUAUCAGCUAGUUGGUGAGGUAAAGGCUCACCAAGGCGACGACGGGUAGGGGGUCUGAGAGGAUGAUCCCCUCGAGUGGGACUGAGACACGGCCCACACACCUACGGGUGGCAGCAGUUGGGAAUCUUGCACAAUGGGGGAAACCCUGAUGCAGCGACGCCGCGUGGAGGAUGAAGGAUUUCGGUCUGUAAACUCCUUUUACAGGGAAAGACUUAGGACGGUACCCUGUGAAUAAGCUCCGGCUAACUACGUGCCAGCAGCCG
rnacentral:rRNA from 1 species